GGUUCUUGUCCUCAGAGGCAGUUUUCUGGGGAAGGGGCAGCUGUGAGACAUUGUCAGACUGUCUACAGCUCCAGGGUCUCUCCUAGGUUUCAGCUGCUGGGACGAACAAAGGCGAAGAGGAAGACAGGUUCUCAUCAUGGUCUUUUAACAAAGAGCCUUACCAACUGACCCAUCUUCCUAGCCCAAAGUGUAUCUUCUUUUAAAUAAGCAAACAAUUGGAUGGCACAGUACCAAAGCUUGGGCUGAGAAUCAAAUAUUCUCUAUUGCAUCAAAGCCAGUGGCCAUACCUCCCAUCCAAGAAGGCACAGUGCACAUGAAGUCUCAGUGGAAUGGGAAGGAUGAAGGUGUAGAAGGGACAUGAGACUGAGAAAAUGUGGAGACUGCCUUCCCCAAUCUUAGAGAAAACCUGGGGAAGUCAGAGAAGAUGGGACAGGAAAUCACACUUACAGGAAGCAGAGGUGCUAAAGAUGUGUUUGAAGUAAGCACUAUUGAAAUCCAAGGCCCCUAAGGAAGACUGGUGUGAUGUCCUGAGUAACACCCCAGGAAAUGGGGAGAGAAGAAUGGUAGCUAGCAGAAGAAAACAAGGUAAAGCAAGGAAAGACCACGCGAGGGGCAUGAGGCUGGGUGCCAAGAGGCAGCAGAAGAUGCCAGGACAGAAAACCUUACAGUCUGUGCCUGAGGUGGCCGUGCCGAGGCCAGAUGUGAAGCAAAAGGAAUCAUCUGGUGGGCAAUGGUUCAGGAAAGUCUUAGAUUUACCCUUUUCCUUCUGAAAUUUUAAUAAAUUUAGUCUUUGAAUUGAGUGGACAAAGCAUAGAUAAACAGGACAAAAACUUAACAGUUGUCAACAUGUCUAAGUAUGGGAGUCACAGAAAAAGUGUGUGACCCAAAGGAGACAGUAGCUGGUCAUUAAAGAGAGAUAAACAAAGGGACAUUGUUGGGGCUGCUGGGAGUAGGACAUAUGCUAUGAGAGGUGGACAGCCUCUAGGGUUGUCUUGUGAGGAAGAUAAGUCCCCCAGCCAGCCACAUGUGGUCAUCUCUAACUGGGCCAGGUGUUGGAUCUCCACUCUUCUUACUGUUGGAAAAAAAUCUUUGCUAUGAUAAGAAGCUGUGAUUGCCCUAGAGGUGUUUAGAGUUCCUUUUACAAAAGGAUAGCUCUUCAGAGUUCUUCCUGCAUCUGCCGAGAGAUCUGGUAUUACAAUAGGCAUUUGGAAACACGUCAAACAAACAUGUUUCCAGUAAACAUGACAACAUAGUCUGGUCCUUCUCAGUGUCUGGACCCUCUGAAAGGAAGCACACUAUCGCCCAAACAGGGAGCAUCACCUCCCAGGAGCCUUGUGGAGCAGAGGGUCCAGGUUGUAUGCUCACCUCAUCUGACUAGAAGUAGGGAGAGGAGGAACCUGGCUCUCUGCUGUGGGGAAACAAUGAAUAUUGUUGACUCCAAACUGGAAUAUUCUUAGGCUGUGCUUAGAGCCUGCUUCUAUAGACAGGAGGUCUCAUGAACUGGUGUAAUUUUUUACAGACACACAUUAUGUUUACCAACAAAUUUUAAUGAUACUCUCUACCCACUCUUUUUUUUUAAAUUUUAAAUGUAUUUGUAUGAGCAUAUGCCACGUGUAUGAAGGUACCCAUAGACUCUAAAAGAGCUCAAUCCCCUGGAGCUGGAGUUUAAGAUGGUUGUGAGUCAAGUCACCCAACCACCUAUUCUGAUAUUCAGUCAUGGAUCCCGUUGGCCAGUGGUAGCCGGUAGUUUUUUUUUUUAAUCAAAUUAAUUUAUUUUUAUGUAUAUGGGUGAUUUGCCUGCAUGUACGUUUAUGUCUGAGUACCGCAUUUAUUCCUGGUGGCCAUGGAAGCCAAAAGACGGCAUCAGAGCCACUGAAAUUAUAGUUACAGACAGUUAUGAGUUGUCAUAUGGGUGACAGGAACUGAACUUAGGUCCUGUGCAAGGUUAGCAGGCACUUUUAACCCCUGAGCUUCUGUCUAGUCCCUAGCUGGGUUUUAGGAUGACUAAAUUCCCGAUGUUAUCAUCCCAAUCUACCUGGAAGGGAGCUGACAAGUGUCUAGAAUAGCAUGUGGGACCCAAAUAGUUUGGCCUUCAUUAGUUUUCAGAAAAAAAUAUAAAAUAAAAAAACUUAUCUUAAAAAAAUGAAACUGAGCAUGCAAAUUACCAAUGUACUUGUGAUGGAAAGAACAAGAAAAGCCACCAGUGUGCCACGCUUCUGAUUCAUUGUCA
rnacentral:sRNA from 1 species